AGCUUCGUAGCAGAACGGAUAAUGCGUCUCCCUUCUAAGGAGAAGAUUGGGGGUUCAAGUCCCUAAAAGGUGA
rnacentral:tRNA from 2 species